rnacentral:piRNA from 1 species
UAUUACAUGCUUAUAUGCUAGGGGAAUA